UGGCAGCUCCCACUCUAGCUUUGCCAUUCAUUCCUAUGGGACAAAUUGCGCCACAAAAACGACGAUAUUCCGUGAACCAUUCGGCGAAACGUUCCACAAAGUAAUAGCAAUCCGAUCGGGAACAAUCUGCACGUUUUGGUAAAUUUUGGUCUAUGUAGUGUAAAAACUGUGGGAGGAGUUAGGGUGGCAAAUUUUGCUAUAAUAAUAAGAAUAAU